rnacentral:rRNA from 1 species
CUGCAGCCCGAGUGGUGAUCGAUUUUAUUGAGCCUAAAGCGUCCGUAGCCGGACUAGUAAACCCUUGGUUAAAUUGGGCAGCUUAACUGUCCAAAUUCCGAGGGGACUGCUAGUCUUGGGACCGGGAGAGGUCAGAGGUACUCAAGGGGUAGGGGCUAAAUCCUGUAAUCCUUUGGGGACCACCAGUGGCGAAGGCGUCUGACUAGAACGGAUCCGACGGUAAGGGACGAAACCCUGGGGCGCGAACCGGAUUAGAUACCCGAGUAGUCC